UUGAAAUGUCAAGUGUCAAUCAGUAUUUUCAAAUUCAGAUUCUUUGAAAUUGAAAAUUUUUCUCUUUUUUAUUUUUAAUCUUUCAUUGUUCAUUGUUUUUAUUAUAGUUUCGUUUUUCAGAUCUUGUUAUUUUAGUUUAGAUACUAGUCCAGUAGUUAGUUCCAAAUAGUGUGUAAGAAUACUUUUCGUGAAAUGGGACAAUUUUGUAUUUUGUGUGGACAAUCUAGAAAUGCAGAUUCGAACAUUCACCUGUAUUCAGUUCCAAAGGAUGAGAAAAAACGGAAGCAAUGGAUGGAUGCUGUUGGGAAAAACCUUCGUGUUGGUACAUCCGUUUGCUCAAAGCAUUUCCCAAUCCACUCCAUUGGACGUAUCAAAUUAUUGAAGGGGGCCAUACCAGCAAACAUGCAUAUUAACCAAGCAUCAGAAAAUAAUAAAACAGAUGAAAAUACUUUGAAUUCGGAAAAUGAAGCUUGGGCAAGGAUUACUGAUAACUUUAAUAGCCAAAGAUUUUCAUCGGGAAGUGCCAAACGCAAAUUCUUGGAUGAUCCACUCAUGGAUUACGUAGAUGUCGAUGAUCCAAAUUCAGAUAAAGAGGGGGAUUGUUCUUGGGAUAAUACAGCUGUGUAUGAAUCAAGAGCUGGUAUAUGCACAAAUGAACCAGAAAUAAUUGUUAUUAAGGAGGAAAUUGAACCAAAAGGCAGAAAAAGGAAAAGUGAAGAAGAGAAUAAUGAGCAAAAUAUUAUCACUAAAUUAAAGUUAGAAAAUCAGCAUAGACAGCAGGAUAUGCAGGCUGUGAAGAUGAGAACGGCUGAAAUUGAUAAGAAAACUGCUGAUAUUAAGAAGAGAACUGCUGAAAUCAAGAAGAGAACUGCUGAUUUAGAGCAUAAACUGGCAGUGCUCAAAGUUAAAGAACAGCUGAAAAAGAUGUACCCAGGAAUGGAGUACAGUCAUAUGGAUGUGGAAGAACUUGAUAUAAGCAGUUUAUAAAAACAGGUAUAUGACCUUGGGACCCUCGAAAGACGUCCGAUUUUGUACGUCAAAUGGGCAGCUACGUUGCCAGAUGAAGAAUUAAUCAGUAAAGUGCGUGUAGUGAACUGAUUUACUUGUGGAAGUGAUUCAAUCAUAUAAUUUCUAAACAUAGCAUGAAAAUAUGGAAUUGUUGAUGUAAGGACUAUUCGAUGGGCACUAAAAGAUUUUUCCUCUACCAAAAAAAUUUUUAAGUAGAUAUAAUUCGAGAUUAUUAUUUCAAUACCGAACCUUCAAGACGACAUCACACAAACGUCCCUGUCUUCUAAUCUCCUCCAUGCAGGGAAAAGCAGAAAGAAAUAAAUCGUUUCAUUGAAAAAUCAAAUUUUGAUUUUUCAUGGUAAUGAAGUACCUAAAUUGGAAUGUUUGGCCCCUCUUCACAAUCCAUCAUUUUUUCCCCAGAAAAACUUUUUCAAUGUAUCCAAACUAUCUGCUGUGUCUAAAUAAAAUAUAUUUUUUAA